UCCACUGACCACACCCUGACUAGGUAUUGU
rnacentral:piRNA from 1 species